CCUACGGGUGGCAGCAGUGGGGAAUUUUGCGCAAUGCUCGUAAGAGUGACGCAGCGACGCCGCGUGAAUGACGAAGGCCUUCGGGUCGUAAAGUUCUUUCGACCGGGAAGAAAAUGCAUAUAAGUAACUGUGUAUGUAUUGACGGUACCUGUAUAAGCAGCCCCGGCUAACUCCGGGCCAGCAGCCGCGGUAAUACGGAGGGGGGGAGCGUUGUUCGGAGUGACUGGGCGUAAAGAGCAAGUAGGCGGUGGUGUAAGUCAUUAGUCAAAGACUAGAGCUCAACUUUAGUAACGCCAGUGAUACUAGAAGUCUAGAGUAUCAGAGAGGAUUGCAGAAUGCCUGGUGUAGCGGUGAAAUGCGUAGAUAUCAGGAGGAAUACCGUUAGCGAAGGCGGCAAUCUGGCUGGAAACUGACGCUGAGGUGCGAAAGCGUGGGUAGCAAACAGGAUUAGAUACCCGGGUAGUC
rnacentral:rRNA from 1 species